AUACUCCUACGGGACGCAGCAGUGGGGAAUUUUGCGCAAUGCUCGUAAGAGUGACGCAGCGACGCCGCGUGAAUGACGAAGGCCUUCGGGUCGUAAAGUUCUUUCGACAGGGAAGAAAAUGCCUAUAAGUAACUGUGUAUGUAUUGACGGUACCUGUAUAAGCAGCCCCGGCUAACUCCGUGCCAGCAGCCGCGGUAAUACGGAGGGGGCGAGCGUUGUUCGGAGUGACUGGGCGUAAAGAGCACGUAGGCGGUGUUGUAAGUCUUUAGUCAAAGACUAGAGCUCAACUUUCGUAAGGCUAGUGU
rnacentral:rRNA from 1 species